rnacentral:rRNA from 1 species
UACGUAGGGGGCAAGCGUUGUCCGGAAUCAUUGGGCGUAAAGAGCGUGUAGGCGGUCUGGUAAGUCCGCUGUGAAAGUCCAGGGCUCAACCCUGGAAUGCCGGUGGAAACUGUCAGGCUCGAGUCCGGAAGAGGCGAGUGGAAUUCCUGGUGUAGCGGUGAAAUGCGCAGAUAUCGGGAGGAACACCGAUGGCGAAGGCGGUUCUCUGGGCCUUAACUGACGCUGAGGAGCGAAAGCGUGGGGAGCGAACAGG